rnacentral:rRNA from 1 species
GAUGAACGCUAGCGAUAGGCCUAACACAUGCAAGUCGAGGGGCAUCACAUGAGGCAGCAAUGCCGAUGGUGGCGACCGGCGCACGGGUGAGUAACACGUAUGCAACCUGCCUUCAACAAGGGGAUAACCCGUUGAAAAACGGACUAAUACCCUAUAAUACAGGGGUCCCGCAUGGGGAUAUUUGUUAAAGAUUUAUCGGUACAAGAUGAGCAUGCGUCCCAUUAGUUAGUUGGUGUGGUAACGGCACACCAAGACGAUGAUGGGUAGGGGUCCUGAGAGGGAGACUCCCCCACACUGGUACUGAGACACGGACCAGACUCCUACGGGAGGCAGCAGUGAGGAAUAUUGGGCAAUGGAGGCAACUCUGACCCAGCCAUGCCGCGUGCAGGAAGACGGUCCUAUGGAUUGUAAACUGCUUUUAUACGGGAAUAAAGUGCCCCACGCGUGGGGUUUUGCAUGUACCGUAUGAAUAAGGAUCGG